rnacentral:lncRNA from 1 species
AGAAACUCCAGAACCCAAAGCAAAUUUUCCUGCCCGGUACAAGGAGGACAUAUUUUCACUGACUGUUUCCAUGGAAAUAAAUCGGAGGCAUUACUUUUGGAGCAACUAUGCGGCCCAAGAUAAUUUGUCUUGACUCAGUGUGAUCCAGGCAAGCCAAAAGGUUGCACACCCAUGAAAUAAGCCAAGAAAGUACAUGGACUGCAAGAAAAUUCUUUUUGGUCUACUGACAUCCCUGUUUAAUUAAUAAGUGCUGUCACACAUUCAGCAAGCACGCAUAUCGCUCUUGGUCUUGGUAAGAGCCACUCUCUUUUCCAGUGCUGUGAGUCACUCAGUCUUCACAAGGUUUUGUCCUCUUCACCAGUCACAAAAAAAUAUUUGUUUGGAAUUUGGUAAACUGAAGUGGAAGUGUCCUCGCUGCUGAGAAUUUACACUGGGACCAGAAUGAUGCCUGCUCUUCCCUCACACAAGGAUGCAGAGCCUAUCGAAGGAAGGGAAUUACGAAAUGACAAGGAUAUGUCCGUACAGUGGGCUCUGCUGUUGUCUCCGAUCUCUCAGUGAUGGAACAUCAGGAUUCCCCAAGAUGUGUACAGACAACUAAUGCCACCUGCAUGCUGGAAUUUGAAAGUUUAUUUUAGUUUUGAUUGUAGUUGUUUUUGUUUUUUCUCUCUAUCUGGAACAGUGGUUUUCUUAUUACCUGCCAGCCUACUAACAGGACAAAUCUCAGUCACAGACAACAGGAUUACAAAACUGAAGUUGCCAUUGUGCUUUUAGGAUCAUAUGAGCCACUUGGUGCAGUACACACAGAGCAGCUAAAAUAACCAGAAGCAGAGAAGUCAGUGAACAAGGGGUGAUGCCAUCUGUGAUACACAAAGUUAUAAAAGAGUAAGCUGACAUUAUAAAGUGGCUGGAGAAGCUGUGUACUUCCUACAGCAGUAGAGGAGCAUGAAGUGCAAUCCUCCAUCAUUUUUGAGGAGAGAAACUCCGUCUGCAAGCUGUGAAAGCAAACUGGUCGUGUGAUUGCUGUCUGAAGGAGUAUCCUUUGAUACCUAUUGAUUCAAUUGAUUUCAUUUUGUGGAAUGGGUUGGAAAGGGCUGAUCUUUGUCUUCUGUCACAAGGACUGGGAAUUAAAUCAUUCUGUCGCCUUGGGCUCUGAUCAUGUUAAUUCCACAGCCAACAGGCAAACAUGGGCAUGGUGCCUGGCACAGUGGUGAUCUGUACUGUCAUUCAGAAGAUGAAACUGUGCGACAUUCACUAGGAGCCAACUGAAAAGUCACCGGAGGCACCCUGUGGCCUUUUCUUUUGAUGCAUAAACAGAUUUUACUGGAAGAGGGGAGAGUUGCCCAUUGCACCAGAUCAACUCUGCUUUUUCACAUCACUGCUUGGUUGCUGAUGUUGGUCCCUGGCACAGGGCUCUCCAAUUUUCAUCAGACUACUAAGAAUCCCCUCAGUAUUUCAGUGAGAGCAUUUAGGAUACUAAGAUAUAUCUGGUUUGCUUUGGGGUUUUUAUUGUUGUUGCUGAUUUUUUCCAAUCUGUGGAAGGAACUGUCACUAGGAAACCACUGUGGUACGGGAACUAUAUGAAUUCUGCAGUCUUCUUCAUAUCUCUUUAUCAAGUGAUAGAUACAGCCUGUCCACUCCAUUCUUUCCCUUUUUCCUAUUCUGUGACAGCAAAUAAAGACACCAGCUAAAGCCGGUUGUGGAGAUUAGGGCUGUUUUCAGCUCACCUUCUUAGCAAAACAAGGCUUACAUGCUUACUCUGCAUGUAAUCUUAAUGUCUUAUGAACACUUCUAGCCAAUCUCUCCCAAACAUAUCAGAAAAGCUGAGUUGCCAGUACACUUACUUCCUACAUUUUCUUCCAGUUCAGUCAAAAGGAGCAGCCCAAAAAAUCAUCAGCAGCAUUUUUCUGCUGUAAGUGGGAAAGGUAGAAAAACAGCAGGAGAACUUUAUAUUUGCACAAGGAGAUAAUAUAAAUCUCACUUUCAAUCACUUAGUAUCCAUUCACUGAGAGAUGCACAUCCACAAGAAAGGAGGUGCGCAGCAACCCACGUUUUCUUAUGUGAAUACUUGUCAACUAGUAGACAAAUCAAACAAGUCAGUUGGUUCUUUGCAGGCUUACACUUGUGGCAUUGAACUUAAAUCAUUCCUAUUUCUGAAUUCUGGUCCUGAGUUUAGGUAAUGAUUUCUUUCUCAGUAGUGACUUUCUGUACUGGUUGAAACAUAAACUACUUAAAUGACUGUACUCAAUACUUAUUUAUUGUCUCUUGCAGAAUUAUCUUUCCCAAACCUUUCUUGAACUAUAAUGUUAAUCUGGGGAGCUCUGGAUGUAGUCCAUCCUGGAUGUCUGCUCCAGAUAAUACAAAAAAAACCCCGAAUUUUUCAUAAUUCUUUUUAUACAUGCAUGUUGGUUUCUCAGGUAUGUGAUUUAUGGACUCUUUCAGCAUCACUUUCUGCUUUUGAGAAGAUACAGAAAAAAUAGCAGCCCUAAUGCAAGAGGAAGAUGUGAGGAAAAUCAAAAAGCUUUGUGUUCCCAGAGUAGUAAAAAAAUAUCUCAAAAUGUUUUUCUUAAGAAAACAGUUUCUGGCAUGACCAGGAUGUUUUCAACUCAACUUUCUUCUACCUUGUUUAUACAGGUGAUCAUCAGUUUUCUUCAGCUUCUGGUCUAUCAGUCUCAGAAGAUAUUUACAGAUCGUAUAAUAUUGAAUUAGAAUCAUGGAAGUGUUAAUGUGCAAUAUAUGCAACAGAAUGGUGGCUACAAAUUAACACUAGUGUCCAAUCCUUCAGAAAAAAUAAUAGAAAUAUGCUACUGCUGAGAUUUAAUGCAAAGUGAAUGAAAAGAAACAGUGACAAUACUUCUCCAUGCUUUCAGAAUUAAGAGGAUUCUAACACUAAUCAAAACCUUUCACACAUUCUUUUUUCCCAUGCUGAAAAUGGAUCAAAGUUUGAAAAUACAACUCAGAGAUUAUUAUGUUUGCAUGUGUAUUUUACAAUCUAUAAACAAGACCUUUACUAAGCAAGCAACUUCUCUAUGGAAAAAGUUCAAUUUCCCAUAAAGAAUUCACGGGAAGAUCUGUAUGUUCAAAAUAUACUUUCUAUUUAUUUCACCCCAGAAAUUCAUCUGACCAAUUUAUUUUCCAGGAAGGGGGAUAAGUGAAAACAUAUGCUUGGUCAUUCUGUAUUUUUUUAACUUCUUGAAUUUCAGCAGUAAGGAGAUUAACUUGACUCAGUAUAAACUAGGGAUGGAAAGAUCUUUGAUGCAGCUGUGAAACUUUCUGCUUCUUUCAGAGCUGAAGGAACACAGCAACAGAGACAUCUGCCACAUCUGCUUCUGUUAUAAAGCAUCAAGUAAAUUGAGGAAGAUAAUGCUUGGUCAUGGUACAUGUUAAUAUCACCUUCUGACAAAGCAGGGUUUUCUUAUGUUCAGUUAUGUACACUGACCUGGUAUUAAGUGGAAGGAUCACUGCCCUUUUACAACCUUUUGUACUUGUUCAAUAGCUUUUGAUUCUGUUUGGAGAACCCGUUUCUUGUUAAAAACUUGAGCAACCAAAUCCAUCCUCCUUGAGCAUUGCUGCUCAUAUACCACAGAAUCACCAAAUUCUUGUGGGCUUUCCAAAGCCUUCGUGAGCUAAUGGUGGUCUCCCACGAUUUCCUUCAAAAUCCACACAACUAUAAUAAGCCAGAUACCUUAGACUUACAAGGACAGCAUUCACUAACAGCUUUGAAAUGUGUAUACCCAUUGCUGCUUUGAAAACAAGGCCAAAACAGCAUUUUAUUUUUACUGAACAUUACUAGAGAGCUCUCCACUAAGCCUGUCCAGAACUUUUGUAUUAUUUGAGAUGAAACAAGAAGAGGAAGCUCCUUCUCGAGAAAUUUUGUACUAGUGAGGUUUUUUUUAUUCAGCUGAACCCAAAGGCAGAAUUUGGAUCAGAUGUUUUAAUGUAAAACCUCCAUUACUUCCUGUAGAUUUUCCUAUUGCUGUGCAGCCCAAUUGAGCAGAUGGUAUUAUUCAUCUAUUUUUCUUCUUUGAACUGUGAGUGUAACUGUCAUUUGUCUUCUGACAGUCUUAUCUUCCUGUUUUUGGUGGGUUUUUUUUGUUUUUUUUUUGUUUUUUUUUUUUGUUGUUGUUGUUGUUUUCCCUAAAAUAUUUGGUGAUCUGGUCAAAAGCAUGCUGAGAAAUCGUUACUACCCUGGGUAAAUUGCCUUCCAAAUUCUGCAGGUGAAUUUCAUCUCUAAUCAGAUUCCUGCUGCAUGACAUCAGCUGCAUAGAAUUCAAAUCAAUACAAAAGUCCUCUUGCAGGUUUGAGCUCCCUCUGAAGGAUCAGCCAUUUCAUUUAGCUGCUGUGUACUUAUUGCUGGAAUAUACCUGGGAUGGUUUGAGUGACAGUCUUCAUUUCUGGUUCGGUGUCACUGCAGACCCGGACUGCUAAAUGGGUGCCUUCUUCUGGAUUGGACUCAGAGUAAGCACGGACCAAGGUACAAAAAUAAUUAAAACAAGUUGCUAUUGAAUAGGAUUUGCAAGUGAGGAUUCUUGCAAGCAGAAGGCUGAGGCUGAAAAGUGAAAGCUGCAGAGGCUUUCUGACUUUUUAAGAGAAAAACACUGCCUCAUCUUUUCUCCUGAUACACACUGGUACUCUCUCUGCUCCUCUGCACCUGCAGAAAUGGAUGGAUGCUCCAAGUCUGUUCUGUUUCUGUUGGAAGAACUGUGCUAGACAGCUCAGGAGUCUGCAGGUGCCAGCCAGAGCAUGUUUUGCCAAGCAAAGGAGACUGCUUUGUGCCUCUGAAGGAAGGCUCAGGGGCAGGUUUUGCACUGGAGAACUUAUCUACAACAUAGAGUUCUUCCUACGUAAGACAGACAAACCAUAAGCCAUGCAUCAAAUACUGGUUCAGGGGAGCUCAACGAGUCCUCUCAGAUGAAUACAAAAUUCACCUAAAAAUGGAUUUCCAGAAGAACUGACAAGUUGGUUGGUGUGACACAUGGACUUUUUGCAGCUUCCAUGAAGAUGCAAGGGUGAGAAGUAUUGCGGAGUUAAGAGAAGAGAAAGUCUCUCCAUCUCUCUGUCGUCCUGCUCAGACCCGAGAUUUAGACAAGGAAGAAUGGAAGAUUCGCUCGAAGGCGGCCUGAGAGUCUGCUGAGAAAGGAUGAGCCACAGCAGAGGAGGAGGAGAUUCAAGAAGGAAACAACAACCCAAGAGCAAGGAGGUUGUGAAUCAGCCAAACCUCUGGGAGACAUCAUGCACAGAGGAGGAGACACCAAGACUCCAUGCUCAGGAAAACUGAUAUACUUCUGUUAGUAGUCUUGGGUCUCAUUUGCAUUACCAUGCAUUACCAGUACUUAGAGAUAUGUUUAACUUUAAGGACAUGGGUGAUUGUGGUCUGAAAGCAGCAAUGUGGUUUUAUCUGCUUAUGUGCUCUAUAUUCUCAAAGGGAAACUGUUCCCACUUUUCAGAAACAAAACCUAAGAAUGUGACUGGGAAAAUGAGCCUGGGACAGAAAAAUCAGACCAACAGUCUAAAAGAUAUAAAAUAAAAUAAAAUAAAAUAAAAUAAAAUAAAAUAAAAUAAAAUAAAAUAAAAUAAAAUAAAAUAUGUCACAGCCUAUUGUAAAAAAAAAUCAUUUCUAACUAAGAAAAAGUGACUUGCAGGACUAAUUUGAGAAUAUAUUUGUCAUAAGCCAGCUAAGAUGAGCCAAGCUUUUUAAAUCAGUCCAUCCCUGCCUCCUUUGGCUGGUAGCAAGGAGAAAGAAACUUGGUGUGCAGCUGGAAGACUGAUGCCAAGCUAAUCGAAUGUGCGUGCAGAGGGAGCAGCAGAUGACAAGGACAGGAUUGGCAGGAUGUCGCCAGAUUGUUUGAUUAGCAAUGGGAUGGCUCAAGUGCUCCCUGUCCUACCAGGAACUUGGCACAGAUGCUGACACGUGACUCAGUCCCCAAGCAGUUGUUCUCUGCAGCACUGUUUGAAAAAGGGCUCUGCUUCUCCAAAAACAGGAAGGGUAUUAACAAAAACAAAAACAAGGAUGAGAAAGAAAGGCUAUGAGACUGUGUCUAUAAAUGUUAGAUUCUGGCUAUUCUUUCUGUUAAUACCACCCAAACUUCAGCUGAAAUGAAAUAUUUGACUUGGGAUAAAAAUCAGAUAGUCUGAAAUUUAACCCAGCAAAAGUAAUAUGAGGGAGCAUUGAUGAGUGGGUAUUUUCCUUCCCCUACAGUUUCGCCAUCCAUGUUAUUGCUUUCUUUCUGUGUGUCAGUUUAGACCAACCUGCCACAAAAAAAAAUAUUAUUUUUUUCCUAGGAGACAAAUAUGGUGAGAAAGGCAGCAACACUAUCUUCUAACACCAAAGUUGCAAAUCUAUUCUGGUGAAGCUAAGUGAAAAAUGAAGCAAACUGAUUUCAGAGACAUAUACGUAGGCCUAUGGAGAAAGCCCCAAGCAUAAAAACUAGCUCUCAGCACGAAACAUGGGUAGCAAUUGCCUUUGAUUACUAACAGCAGGUUUUUCAGUCUAUGGACAAAUGUGUAGAUUAUGAGCAAUUUUCUGAGGCAUCUAAAUCAGCAUAUUCAGAUAGAAACAAAUUUUUGAUGCUAUGGCAUCACUGCUACAGUCCAAAUUACAUUGCGCAGAUGUACAUGUAAAUAUCUUACUUGCACUAAAGGCAGCUCAGAAAAAUCAGGGAAUCUGACAUCUCCCCUGAGAUUUUUAAGAUAGUUCAAAUGAUAAAAUAAGUAAGUUCCUCAGAAACAAGAUGGGUGUUGGUGACAGUUUGUACAUUCAGCACAACAAAUAAUCAGCUGCUAUGAAUUUGGAUAACCCUGUUAAAGCCAACAGAACAGAAACAGUUUUUAUCAAGUUACAGCUAGUCCAGAGCAUAUACAUGAGACUUGUACAUAACAAUACUGCAGAUAUAUGGAGAAACUGUAAUGCAGACAGCAGCUUUAUAGUGGGCUUUCAUAUGCCUAUAUACUUCUAAACUGUAUGUGUAACUACAUUCUUGUCAGUUCUUCAGCCUUUUCAGAUGGAUAUGUUACUUCUCUCUAACGUGUCAGUUUUCUGACUAACCUGUCAUAACAAUCUAUGACACCACUCUCUAACAGCUUACCACUGCUUUACAUGAAAUGUGAGGGUUUGUCUGCAGUCACACAUAGGAAUCAUAUUCCAAAAUAAGAGUGUGGGGGAGACGUCUGUAAGUAUAGAUGUAAGCGCAUACGUAUGUAUACGUAGACAGACACACAGAUCCAAAAUAUCUGCCUGUGAAUCAUUGGAAUUACAAUCACAGAGAAUGAAGCAGCACAAGAUGGGAUAUUUCUCCUGAGCUGCACACUGUUUCUCAGCUUUGUGGAAAACUCCUUUUAUGCUGUGACCACAAAUGAUGCACCAUCAGUGGAGUGAUACCGUGUUGCUGAGAAAUGAACUGCUUGUUUGAAUGGACUUUGCAUUCGUUAUAGAAAAGGAACAACUCCAGUUUUAGAUAGAUUCAUUUAUUUACUUUGCGCUGUUUCCAUGACUCAUAAUCCUUUUAAUAAAUCAAACUAAAGAACAUAACAUCAAAUCAGAGAAUCAUAGAAUCUUUAGAGUUGGAAGGAAUGCUUACAGGCCAAGGAGGUGCAAGGAGGUACAGGUUCUUGAUUUGAGUCCCUCUGGAACACUUGAAAACAUAAAACAUAAAAAUUGUUCAAAAUAUCAUCUUUCCAAAUUAAUAUGUGUUCUUGUUCUGUAUUGUGCACACCGACAUGACAUGAUUCCUGGAAUUUCCUGCUGAUAGAACAUUUUUCCAAAGAUGAGAAGAGAUCCAAAACUUUACAUUAGCAUAGUUCAAAUUCACAAGUCCAUGGCCUCAGCCUACAGACAAUGAUGCCCCAGUCUCACUUGCAGCUAUUUCCAUUAGACGAGUGUGGCUGAUGGGUCAGAAUGGAAAAACUCAUGGGAAAAAAGACAACUUAAAAUCCAAAAGAUAAUGUUGGAGGUUUUAUCUGUGCUUCUGACAAUACACGGCUGUUAACUCUACUAAUCUGGGCUUUCUCUAAGGGCUGGCAGGGAAUUCAACAUAACCAAAUCUACUCUCUCUGAGGUGCGGGAACUUUCUGGAGCUUAUAAUGAAAGUCUGGAUGCUCAUGGAAAUCAAAGCUGCAUGCUCCUGCCCACAGAAGAGACAGGCAGCAUUGCCACUGCCCUGUGGCCCCAGAAAUAGAAUGGAAAUCUUUGAGGGACCUAAGAGAGAGGACUACAGCGAACACACAAUCUGUGUUUCCUGUAAACUUCUUCAUUUUCCCUCCAUCCUACUUUCAAAUGAAAACAGUCCCUACUGUUCUGAUGUAGGGGAGAAGUCUUUCCUGAUACAUAGCUUAACCUUAAAUGCUUAAAAGAGAAGGCAAACAGGUCCCAGAAAGGCUUAUCUGCAUCACAGAGGACACUAGUACCUCCUACCCCUCUCUUUCCAGUUGAAACUUAUCUUGGAUGUUUCAGAAAAAAAAGAUGAAGAGAAAGAGAAAAACAGCCAAGCAUUGUGUAAGGAGGUGUGAAACAUGUUUCUGGCCUUUACUUUCAUUCUGUGCUACCAUCUCAAAAUCUUUUCCUUGUUUCUGGGCAUCCUGUGUGACCCUUGUAAUUACAGUGAAUGUCUCUCAGGCAACAUUAACCCCUGCCCUGAUCCAUCUCUAACAAUGAUUGCAUUAAAAACUUCACUGUGUCUGCAGCUAUUUAAUCAUUCAUCACCUGGAAAGUGGUACUGCUCUACUGCUCUGUGACUGUGGCCAUUAGUGGUGACAAGCAAGGUCUUCCUGAAAUUAAGAAUAUGACAGUAUGAGCUGGCUUAGAUUCGGCCUUUUACAGAUACAUCCAAUAAUGAAAACUCCUUCACAUCGGUACUGUCCAAAGCCCGCUGACGUCAGUGGAGAGAUCUGAUCUCAGUGGGCUUUAAAUCAGACUCUAUAGCUAAGGCUUCCAAAGCAGCUGGGGGGAUUCAGGCACGUAUCUUUCAUUAAAGUGAGGGUAUAUUAAAGCAAAUGGAAGAUAUGUGUCUGAAAUCCCCUAGACUGCUUUGAAAAUCUAAAAUACUGUGCAAGCUGUACAGCUUUCUCUAUAAAAAUAGCUGCCAAAUCUAGCUUUGGUAAAGGCAAUAGAACUGCAUUAAAAGAUCCGCAGAAAGGCCUGGUCCCUCUGAUCCUUUAGGAAAACAGAGAGAAGGAUGGCCAGAGUGCUUUAUUUUCAGCUUUAAACCGUUCCCACGUCAAAGACAUUUGCUCGAGCAAUUUAUGGGAAUGGCAUAGUAGCCAAAAGAAAAGUAAUGCUACUCUUGUCUACGUAGAUGUCACACUUAUAUGGCUCAUCAAGCUGGGAUCAGGACUGCAACAUCUCUCGUGGACAUUAAGGAAUAUUUGAUGUGGGUUUCUCCAUGAGCCUAUGUGCAAGACUGAUCUGGUUGCAAAUUCAUGUUGAUAAGGCUGAGCCCAAGACAGCACCACCAUCAUUCCAGCAGCUCCUCUCAGGAGAAGUCUUGGUACAGACCCUUCUCCUCCUGUCCAGCUUUCAUGGGGACACAGCACUGUACCUCAGCCCCACGUAAGAACUCCCUCUGUUUUCUGAGAAGCAGUGAGACAAGCCUUCUUUCCUAUAGCCCACAAUGACAAUCUACUUAUUAUUCAGACACAGCCUCGCCUAAUUACCUUGUUAUUUUGUGGCAGGCUAGAACAAGGUAGCACCAUUAAGUCAAGUGUCUUCAUUUUAGCCAUCCACUGCCUUCAUUCUUGAUUUAGAAGGCAGUGGCACAAGAGUGGUCUCAGUCACACACAUCCCAUACAGCUCAGGUUGUCGUGCCACUAGCUUACCUUGGUUGUGUAUCUGCUUAUAGACUUUUUUCUUUAUUUCUUGCAUUUUUGGACUACCAAGAACAAGUUACAUUCUGUUAGAGUGACAAAGAGUAAUUGCAUUUUAUGUGUUAUUUCUUGAUGGUAGAGGUACUUCAAACCUCAGAUUGAUUUCAGAUUUCAAAUAUCAGAAAGUUUGAUGCAGUCAGCUCAGGGUGUCCAAUUCUGACCUGUCUCCUGCAAACACAAUCAAAACCUUAUAAGACUCAGAGCUCAGACAAAUGAUAAGCCAAGUCCAGGGAUCUGCCCAUAGUUCAUAUUUUUAGUGCAGGAAGAAUUGACUCAAAGGGAAAAUUGAUGUACAAGAAGAUGUGAUAAAGCUGACGUCCAGAUAGCAUUUGCUCUGCUGAAAUGUUACAACCUGAGCAAGACAAUCUGUGAAAGAGGUAAUUGAGCAUUUGAAAAGCACCUGUUAAUGACGGGUAAGAUAACAACCCCGAGGAACCACCUGUCAGGGCAGGUGAUGAACUCUCCCUCUGAUCUGUUUCUUACUACAGUUUUCUCCAGGGAAACUGGUAGCACAUUCACAUGUCUUUCUAGAGAAAGUUCAUAAUAACAGAGGAUUUAAAUAAACAGAAGAUUGAUUUUAAUGGAAGGUGAAUCAUUUGUGUUUCUUUUUUCUUUUCUCGUGCAGCUGAAAUGUUUUAUCUAGCUUAGAUUAUGAGGAAUGUAAAUAAAUUUAUGUUGAAUGUUAAAUAAACAUUUGCUUUCUUUUUUCCAA